rnacentral:rRNA from 1 species
CUCCUACGGGAGGCAGCAGUAGGGAAUCUUCGGCAAUGGGGGCAACCCUGACCGAGCAACGCCGCGUGAGUGAAGAAGGUUUUCGGAUCGUAAAGCUCUGUUGUAAGAGAAGAACGUGUGUGGGAGUGGAAAAUCCACACAAUGACGGUAACUUACCAGAAAGGGACGGCUAACUACGUGCCAGCAGCCGCGGUAAUACGUAGGUCCCGAGCGUUGUCCGGAUUUAUUGGGCGUAAAGCGAGCGCAGGCGGUUAGAUAAGUCUGAAGUUAAAGGCUGUGGCUUAACCAUAGUACGCUUUGGAAACUGUUUAACUUGAGUGCAGAAGGGGAGAGUGGAAUUCCAUGUGUAGCGGUGAAAUGCGUAGAUAUAUGGAGGAACACCGGUGGCGAAAGCGGCUCUCUGGUCUGUAACUGACGCUGAGGCUCGAAAGCGUGGGGAGCAAACAGGAUUAGAUACCCUGGUAGUCCACGCCGUAAACGAUGAGUGCUAGGUGUUAGGCCCUUUCCGGGGCUUAGUGCCGCAGCUAACGCACUAAGCACUCCGCCUGGGGAGUACGACCGCAAGGUUGAAACUCAAAGGAAUUGACGGGGGCCCGCACAAGCGGUGGAGCAUGUGGUUUAAUUCGAAGCAACGCGAAGAACCUUACCAGGUCUUGACAUCCCAGUGACCGCUCUAGAGAUAGAGUUUCCCUUCGGGGCACUGGUGACAGGUGGUGCAUGGUUGUCGUCAGCUCGUGUCGUGAGAUGUUGGGUUAAGCCCCGCAACGAGCGCAACCCCUAUUGUUAGUUGCCAUCAUUCAGUUGGGCACUCUAGCGAGACUGCCGGUAAUAAACCGGAGGAAGGUGGGGAUGACGUCAAAUCAUCAUGCCCCUUAUGACCUGGGCUACACACGUGCUACAAUGGCUGGUACAACGAGUCGCAAGUCGGUGACGGCAAGCUAAUCUCUUAAAGCCAGUCUCAGUUCGGAUUGUAGGCUGCAACUCGCCUACAUGAAGUCGGAAUCGCUAGUAAUCGCGGAUCAGCACGCCGCGGUGAAUACGUUCCCGGGUCUUGUACACACGC